AGCGAACGCUGGCGGCAGGCCUAACACAUGCAAGUCGAACGAACCCUUCGGGGUUAGUGGCGGACGGGUGAGUAACACGUGGGAACGUGCCUUUAGGUUCGGAAUAACUCAGGGAAACUUGUGCUAAUACCGAAUGUGCCCUUCGGGGGAAAGAUUUAUCGCCUUUAGAGCGGCCCGCGUCUGAUUAGCUAGUUGGUGAGGUAAUGGCUCACCAAGGCUACGAUCAGUAGCUGGUCUGAGAGGAUGACCAGCCACAUUGGGACUGAGACACGGCCCAAACUCCUACGGGAGGCAGCAGUGGGGAAUCUUGCGCAAUGGGCGAAAGUCUGACGCAGCCAUGCCGCGUGGAUGAUGAAGGUCUUAGGAUUGUAAAAUCCUUUCACCGGUGAAGAUAAUGACUGUAGCCGGAGAAGAAGCCCCGGCUAACUACGUGCCAGCCGCCGCGGUAAGAC
rnacentral:rRNA from 1 species